rnacentral:rRNA from 1 species
UACGGAGGGGGCUAGCGUUGUUCGGAAUUACUGGGCGUAAAGGGCGCGCAGGCGGCUCUGAAAGUCAGAUGUGAAAGCCCCGGGCUUAACCUGGGAAUUGCAUUUGAUACUCUGGAGCUUGAGUGUGGGAGAGGAGAGUGGAAUUCCCAGUGUAGAGGUGAAAUUCGUAGAUAUUGGGAAGAACACCGGUGGCGAAGGCGGCUCACUGGCUCAUUACUGACGCUCAUGCGCGACAGCGUGGGGAUCAAACAGG